UACGUAGGGGGCGAGCGUUGUUCGGAAUUACUGGGCGUAAAGAGUGUGUAGGCGGUGCUCUAAGUCUGUCGUGAAAUCUCCCGGCUUAACUGGGAGGGUGCGGCGGAAACUGGUGUGCUCGAGGGUGGGAGAGGUAAGCGGAAUUCCUGGUGUAGCGGUGAAAUGCGUAGAUAUCAGGAGGAACACCUGCGGUGUAGACAGCUUACUGGACCACUUCUGACGCUGAGACACGAAAGCGUGGGUAGCAAACAGG
rnacentral:rRNA from 1 species